GGUCCUGUAGUGUAGUGGUUUAUCACUUGGGAUUUUGAACGCGUUUGCUGGUGCGGCCCCUCAACCUGGUCGCCUUCUGGAUCGUGGAUCUUCCCAUAACCCAAGUUCGAACCCUGGCAGGACCU
rnacentral:tRNA from 1 species